ensembl:lncRNA ULK4P3 ULK4 pseudogene 3
CCAAGUCCUCGGUGCCCCUUGCCAUUUUCCAGCCGCGCUCCCACGAGGGUCACGGCGGCGGGGAGAGGUGGAGCCGCGAGAGCUCGGCCGGGGGCCCCGCCUGGUGGUCGCGGCCAUGACAGCGGCUCGGGACUGGCUCCUUUUCCGCGCCCCUCCCGCCGGAGGUGAGGGGAAGAUGUCCAUGUCCGGGUUCAAGGGCAAACCGAAGUUACUGGCCUCUAUCUUCCAGGAGAACCAGGAGCCACAGCCGCGGCUCACGCCCCACCGCAACAUUAAGAUUACAAGUGGACACCUGAGUCAGCAGGACCUGGAAUCCCAGAUGAGAGAGCUUAUCUACACGACUCAGAUCUUGUUGUCACCCCCAUUAUUGACAAUCCAAAGGUGCAGAAAGCACUCUGACAAUUCCAAUUGCUAAUCCAGCAUUUGUGGAUAGCUGCAAACUGCGAUAUAUGGGCCAAGGUUGCUCGGGUGAUUGGUUUACUGGCUUCGCACAAAACUGAUCUCCAGGAAAAUACACCUGUUGUUGAGGCCUUCCCUAACAGUCCCAGAACUCCUACAUUGCCUGGUGUGCUGACCUAAAGCCCUCAUUAAGACCAGUAACAAAUCAAGCCUAUCUUAUCAACUGACAACACAUUCUGGAACCAUGGCGUGUCCAUGGAUAAGACAUGAAGUCCUUCUUUCAAGACUUGGUUUUCUGGUCCUGGAAAAUACCAAUAUGGAUAAAAGACCUUCAAAGCUGCUACGAUGGGUAAGGAACAAUGCACACAGUAUACCAUUAAGGCAAAGAAGAUAGUCUUAAUCCUGUAUGAAAUGCCAAUGAAGAUGUAAUUAAUGAAUAGACAUUUCAUUGAAAUGAAAUCAAAAGACAUUUUCCUUCUCUGACAUAACAGAGUAGAACUCUCUAGUAAGAACACAAAACUGACCAGCCUGACCAAUGUGAUAAAACCCCCUGUCUCUACUAAAAAGACAAAAAUUAGCCAUGCAUGGUAGCAGAUGCUUGUAAUCCCAGCUACUCAAGAGGCUCAGGCAUGAGAAUCUCUUGAACCCAAAAGGUGGAGGCUGCAGUGAGUCGAGAUCGCACAACUGCACUUCACCCUGGGCGACAAAGCAAGACUUUGUUUUUUAAAAAAAAGAAGAAGAAGAGAAAAAGAAAAAGAA